rnacentral:misc_RNA from 1 species
AAGAAACCGUAAGGUUAAUUCCUUAGGUUGAGACAAGGUUCUGUAGUGUUUCUUGUUCUAUUUCUUUCUAUCAACUGUUGAAAAAUAGUUAAGAAAAAUCGAGUCAAGUUUCUGAUCCGAAACUAAAAAUUUAAGAUCAGCGCUUGAGAAAUAAUCUUCAAGAUUAUGGCGAUAAA